AUUUUUAUAUGCUUACCAUGAUCGCAAAGGUGGUUUUCCCAGGACAAGGCUUAUCCAUAGUGUUCCUGAUGUGCUGACUCCUGCCAUUUCCCCAAAUGUGGCAAAUUCUACUGCAUAAUUUGUGGUAGUAGGGCUGACUGCACUUGAGCUCUCCCUGG